GGCACUGGCGGUGUUGCUGAACAGUUGAUGAUCGUUGAUGAUAUUUAAGUAAAUGUCUUGUAUCAUAUUCGGUAAUUUGGAUAUUAAAUAGUAAAAAUGGCUGACGUUCUGGAUAUAGAUAAUGCAGAAGAAUUCGAGGUGGAUGAGGAAGGUGAUCAAGGAAUUGCUCGUCUGAAAGAGAAAGCAAAGAAGAGGAAGGGUAGAGGAUUUGGAACAGAAAAUUCUGCCCAUGAAGACAUUCAAGAAUAUGAGUCAAUGGAAGUAGAUGGGGAUGAGGAACCAGGACCCCAAAGAUCUGUUGAAGGAUGGAUUUUGUUUGUCACAUCUGUCCAUGAAGAAGCCCAAGAAGAUGAUAUCCAUGAGAAAUUCUCAGAAUAUGGAGAAAUAAAAAACAUCCAUCUCAACUUGGAUCGACGAACAGGAUUUUUGAAGGGAUAUGCUUUGGUGGAAUAUGAAACUUUUAAAGAAGCACAACAGGCAAGAGAAGCUUUGAAUGGAGCAGAAGUUUUGGGACAGGCUAUUGGUGUUGACUGGUGUUUUGUUAAGGGACCAAAAAAGACAAGGAAAAGCAGAAGAAGGAGAUAAAUAUGGAAUACAGCUUUUAACCUGUUCAGAAGCAAAUUGUGUAGUGCAUGUAUUUGAAGAGUACAGGCUGAAGAGCAUCUUGUGCAGCUGCUUGAACAGAAUUGGAAUUCUUCCAUGUCUUUGCACAUCCAGUUUUAGCCUAAAAAUUCUGUCUAUAUAGCAUACUGAUACCACUGAUAUCCUGUAUUUAAGGCAAGCCUAUUUUGUAUAUGGUGAAGUGGGCUUUGUGGAACGUAGGCUAUGUGAGUGUGGUUUGUUGACCCAUGGUUUAUACUGUUCUUUUGUGUGUUUGUUACUGCCAGGUAUGAGGUGAACCUGUGGUUUGGUUCCACAGAGACAAUAUGCCUGCUAGAAGCCAAGACUGUUUCUUUAUGACGCUGUGUUGUCACAAGUGGUAUUUGUUAGGCACUACUGUUUUGUGUGAGAUACUUUUUCUUUGUGUGAAAGUUUCAUGUGUUUUUCUGUACUGAGUCACUACUGGCUGGUAUAGUUCGCUUGCGGACAACAGGCCACGGAGUCACUACCAGCGUGGCUUGGGUAACUGCUCCCUUAUAGAGCCCCCUGUUACAAAAAUGUUCUCUAAUCUUGUAACUGUUUAAUUGGUGUUCUGACCAGAACUGGUUUAUGUUUGUUAACCUGCAGUGAGUUCUCAUUGAUUUGACUACACCCCACCAGUUGUUAUAUUAUUUGUUCUUUUCUUAUUAGUAUUAAAUUUUAUUAAAACUUU